rnacentral:rRNA from 1 species
AACGAACGCUGGCGGCAGGCUUAACACAUGCAAGUCGAACGCAUCCUUCGGGGUGAGUGGCAGACGGGUGGGUAACGCGUGGGAACGUGCCCUUCAGUUCGGGAUAACCCAGGGAAACUUGGGCUAAUACCGGAUACGUGCGAGAGCAGAAAGAUUUAUCGCUGAAGGAUCGGCCCGCGUCUGAUUAGCUAGUUGGUGGGGUAAUGGCCCACCAAGGCGACGAUAAGUAGCUGGUCUGAGAGGAUGAUCAGCCACAUUGGGACUGAGACACGGCCCAAACUCCUACGGGAGGCAGCAGUGGGGAAUAUUGGACAAUGGGCGCAAGCCUGAUCCAGCCAUGCCGCGUGGGUGAUGAAGGCCUUAGGGUUGUAAAGCUCUUUCGUCCGGGACGAUAAUGACGGUACCGGAAGAAGAAGCCCCGGCUAACUUCGUGCCAGCAGCCGCAGUAA